rnacentral:rRNA from 1 species
UACAAGGGGGGCGAGCGUUGUCCGGAUUUAUUGGGCGUAAAGAGUUCGUAGGCGGUUCGUUAAGUUUGGUGUUAAAGACCGGGGCUCAACCUCGGGACCGCACUGAAUACUGGCGGACUGGAGUGCAGUAGAGGCAAGCGGAAUUCCCAGUGUAGCGGUGAAAUGCGUAGAUAUUGGGAAGAACACCGGUGGCGCAAGCGGCUUGCUGGGCUGUUACUGACGCUGAGGAACGAAAGCUAGGGGAGCGAAUGGG